rnacentral:rRNA from 1 species
UUCCGGUUGAUCCCGCCGGAGGUUACUGCUAUCGAGGUUCGACUAAGCCAUGCGAGUCGAAUGUAGCAAUACAUGGCGAACUGCUCAGUAACACGUGGACAACCUGCCCUUAGGACGGGGAUAAACCCGGGAAACUGGGUAUAAUACCCGAUAGGUCUCGAUUGCUGGAAUGCAUCGAGAUUUAAAGCUCCGGCGCCUAAGGAUGGGUCUGCGGCCUAUCAGGUAGUAGUGGGUGUAGCGUACCUACUAGCCUACGACGGGUACGGGUUGUGAGAGCAAGAGCCCGGAGAUGGAUUCUGAGACACGAAUCCAGGCCCUACGGGGUGCAGCAGGCGCGAAAACUUUACAAUGCUGGCAACAGCGAUAAGGGAACCUCGAGUGCCAGGUUACAAAUCUGGCUGUCGAGAUGCCUAAAAAGCAUUUCAUAGCAAGGGCCGGGCAAGACCGGUGCCAGCCGCCGCGGUAACACCGGCGGCUCGAGUGGUAACCGUUAUUAUUGGGUCUAAAGGGUCUGUAGCCGGCCGGAUAAGUCUCUUGAGAAAUCUGGCAGCUUAACUGUCAGGCUUCCAGGAGAUACUGUCUGGCUCGAGGCCGGGAGAGGUGAGAGGUACUUCAGGGGUAGGGGUGAAAUCUUGUAAUCCUUGAAGGACCACCAGUGGCGAAGGCGUCUCACCAGAACGGACCUGACGGCAAGGGACGAAAGCUAGGGGCACGAACCGGAUUAGAUACCCGGGUAGUCCUAGCCGUAAACGAUACUCGCUAGGUGUCGGCCACGGUGCGACCGUUGUCGGUGCCGUAGGGAAGCCGUGAAGCGAGCCACCUGGGAAGUACGGCCGCAAGGCUGAAACUUAAAGGAAUUGGCGGGGGAGCACCACAACGG